rnacentral:tmRNA from 1 species
GGGGGCGAAACGGGUUCGACGGGGAUAUAUAAGCUCGGGCUGCAUGUCGGGGAUUCUAUCAACCUUCGUUAAAAAAGAUAGAACUUUAAAUAUAGUCGCAGACGACUAUGCAUAUGCUGUAGCAGCAUAAAUAAGCUACUGUCCUUCCUUGUUACUCCUGCGGACUUGGAAAGGGCAUCGACUAGCGGGAUAGCUUCUAGGGUGCUUCACUGGCCCCUGCGGCGAAACAAAACAGUGAAUAGCGCUGAAAGUCUCUAGUCCUGGUGGGGCCUAAGCGCGAUAAGCCAUAAGCAGGAAUAAACAUGUAGACGCCUGAAGGGGAGUAUUUUCGGACGCGGGUUCAACUCCCGCCGCCUCCACCA